AGUGAACGCUGGCGGCAGGCCUAACACAUGCAAGUCGAGCGGCCGCACAGUUAGUGUUUGCUCCUAAGGGUGGCGAGAGGCGGACGGGUGAGGCCUACAUCGCAAACUACUUUUUCGUAAGGGAUAACGUUGGGAAACAUACGCUAAUACCGCAUACGUUCUACGGGUGAAAACAGGCGAGCUUCUGACUUUGCGCUUUGGGAUGAGACGGUGUCAGAUUAGCUAGUUGGCGGGGUAAACGGCUACCAAGGCUAGGGACGGUAGCGGGUCUGAGAGGAUGAUCCGGCAGACUGGAACUGAGACACGGUACAGACUCCGACGGGAGGCAGCAGUCGGGAAUAUUACGGGAUGGGGGAAAGGCUGAUCCAGGCAUACCGCGUGAGUGAUGAAGGCCUUAGGGUUGGAAAGCGCUGUUGUUGUGAGAGAAAAAAAGCUGGUUUAUCCGGGACGAUACUGACGGUACCGGAGGAAUAAGCCCCGGCUAACUUCGUG
rnacentral:rRNA from 1 species